GGUCCCGUGGCGGGCGGUCGUUCGGUCUACCCGGCGCUCGGCGCCCAGGGGGCGAGGCGGCCCAGGACAACAGGUCUACCCCCGAGGCGCCCAGAGGCUAAGUCCCGCCUGGACAACAGGUCUACCCCGUGCCGCCCAGAGGCUAAGUCCCGCCUGGACAACAGGUCUACCCCGUGCCGCCCAGAGGCUAAGUCCGGCCGGGACACCAGGUCUACCCCGUGCUUCCCUCCAGAGGCUAAGUCCCGCCUGGACAACAGGUCUACCCCGUGCCGCCCAGAGGCCAAGUCCCGCCUGGGCAACAGGUCUACCCCGUGCCGCCCAGAGGCUAAGUCCGGCCGGGACAACCGGUCUACCCCGUGCUUCCCUCCAGAGGCUAAGUCCCGCCUGGACACCAGGUCUACCCCGUGCUUCCCUCCAGAGGCCAAGUCCCGUCUGGGCAACAGGUCUACCCCGUGCUUCCCUCCAGAGGCCAAGUCCCGUCUGGGCAACAGGUCUACCCCGUGCUUCCCUCCAGAGGCUAAGUCCCGCCUGGGCAACAGGUCUACCCCGUGCUUCCCUCCAGAGGCUGUCCCGCCUGGGACACAGGUCUACCCCGUGCCGCCCAGAGGCUAAGUCCCGCCUGGACAACGGGUCUACCCCGUGCCGCCCAGAGCCUAAGUCCCGCCUGGGCAACGGGUCUACCCCGUGCUUCCCUCCAGAGGCUAAGUCCCGCCUGGGCAACGGGUCUACCCCGUGCCGCCCAGAGGCUAAGUCCCGCCUGGGCAACGGGUCUACCCCGUGCUUCCCUCCAGAGGCUAAGUCCCGCCUGGGCAACGGGUCUACCCCGUGCCGCCCAGAGGCUAAGUCCCGCAUGGGCAACAGGUCUACCCAUGGGCCGGACGCCCGGCCGAGGGGCGGAGGGGGAUUGCCCGCUCCGUCCCUCGCCGGGUGGAGGAGACCCGCUGCACCCGGACCCUGCCAGCACGGACCGGAGGUCUCGGCUCAGGCCAUGCGGGGCAGCAGC